GAACAUGUGGUGUAGCGGUGAAAUGCAUAGAUAUCACAUAGAACACCGAUCGCGAAGGCAGGUGACCAACCAUGUACUGACGCUGAUGGACGAAAGCGUGGGUAGCGAACGGGAUUAGAUACCCCGGUAGUCCACGCCGUAAACGAUGGAUACUAGCUGUGGGGACUUCGGUCUCCGUGGCCAAGCGAAAGUGAUAAGUAUCCCACCUGGGGAGUACGUUCGCAAGAAUGAAACUCAAAGGAAUUGACGGGG
rnacentral:rRNA from 1 species